rnacentral:rRNA from 1 species
AGAGUUUGAUCCUGGCUCAGGAUGAACGCUGGCGGCGUGCCUAACACAUGCAAGUCGAACGAAGCACCUUACUUGAUUCUUCGGAUGAAGGUCUGGUGACUGAGUGGCGGACGGGUGAGUAACGCGUGGGUAACCUGCCCUGUACAGGGGGAUAACAGCUGGAAACGGCUGCUAAUACCGCAUAAGCGCACGAGGAGACAUCUCCUUGUGUGAAAAACUCCGGUGGUACAGGAUGGGCCCGCGUCUGAUUAGCUGGUUGGCAGGGUAACGGCCUACCAAGGCAACGAUCAGUAGCCGGUCUGAGAGGAUGAACGGCCACAUUGGAACUGAGACACGGUCCAAACUCCUACGGGAGGCAGCAGUGGGGAAUAUUGCACAAUGGGGGAAACCCUGAUGCAGCAACGCCGCGUGAGUGAAGAAGUAUUUCGGUAUGUAAAGCUCUAUCAGCAGGGAAGAUAAUGACGGUACCUGACUAAGAAGCUCCGGCUAAAUACGUGCCAGCAGCCGCGGUAAUACGUAUGGAGCAAGCGUUAUCCGGAUUUACUGGGUGUAAAGGGUGCGUAGGUGGCAGUGCAAGUCAGAUGUGAAAGGCCGGGGCUCAACCCCGGAGCUGCAUUUGAAACUGCUCGGCUAGAGUACAGGAGAGGCAGGCGGAAUUCCUAGUGUAGCGGUGAAAUGCGUAGAUAUUAGGAGGAACACCAGUGGCGAAGGCGGCCUGCUGGACUGUUACUGACACUGAGGCACGAAAGCGUGGGGAGCAAACAGGAUUAGAUACCCUGGUAGUCCACGCCGUAAACG